rnacentral:rRNA from 1 species
ACUCCUACGGGAGGCAGCAGUGGGGAAUAUUGCACAAUGGGGGAAACCCUGAUGCAGCCAUGCCGCGUGUGUGAAGAAGGCCUUCGGGUUGUAAAGCACUUUCAGUAGGGAGGAAGGUAGUGUAGUUAACACCUGCAUUAUUUGACGUUACCUACAGAAGAAGCACCGGCUAACUCCGUGCCAGCAGCCGCGGUAAUACGGAGGGUGCGAGCGUUAAUCGGAAUUACUGGGCGUAAAGCGCAUGCAGGCGGCCUGUUAAGUCAGAUGUGAAAGCCCGGGGCUUAACCUCGGAAUUGCAUUUGAAACUGGCAGGCUAGAGUCUUGUAGAGGGGUUAGAAUUUCAGGUGUAGCGGUGAAAUGCGUAGAGAUCUGAAGGAAUACCAGUGGCGAAGGCGGCCCCCUGGACAAAGACUGACGCUCAGAUGCGAAAGCGUGGGAGCAAACAGGAUUAGAUACCCCUGGUAGACUGUCA